GGGGAUUUAGCUCAGUGGUAGAGCGCUUGCCUAGCAAGCGCAAGGCCCCGAGUUCAGUCCCCA
rfam:Rattus norvegicus chromosome 9, whole genome shotgun sequence.